rnacentral:rRNA from 1 species
UACGUAGGGUGCAAGCGUUGUCCGGAAUUAUUGGGCGUAAAGAGCUCGUAGGCGGUUUGUCGCGUCUGCUGUGAAAACUCGGGGCUUAACCCCGGGCCUGCAGUGGGUACGGGCAGACUAGAGUGCGGUAGGGGAGACUGGAAUUCCUGGUGUAGCGGUGAAAUGCGUAGAUAUCUGGAGGAAUACCGGUGGCGAAGGCGGCAUCCUGGACCGACAUUGACGCUGAAAACCGAAAGCUAGGGGAGCAAACGGG